rnacentral:lncRNA from 1 species
GAGAAAUUUGAAUUUCUUUUUUAAUAUUUUAACAUUCUCUCAGCUUGUAUCAUGUGCUCAUUCUUCUUUUUGGUUGAUGAUCUUUUUGAUUUGUAAGAGUUAUUUUUUACAAAGUAAGUUGCAUAUUUUUAUAAGUUGUUGUUAUGGUUUGUAUGUAGUUUGUCUCUGCCAAAGCUAAUGUUGAAAUUUAGUUGCCAAUGUAAUGGUCUUGGGAGGUGGGGCAUUUUAGAAGAUAGUUAGGUCAUUAAGAUGGGUUAAUGUCUUUCUCACAAAACUGGGUUAGUUCUUGCAAUAUUGGAUUCGUUCCCUUGAGAGUAGCUUGUUAUAAAGCUAGGUUGCCUUUGUGUUCUCUUUUGCACAGGCUCCCAGCCACGUGAUCUAUCCGCCAUAUUACUAUGCAGCAUGAGACUAUCGCCAGAUGCAGCUACCCAGUAUGGAAACUUCUCAGUCUCCAGAACUGUUAGGAGCUGUUUCCUUCCAUCCGUAACAAAGAGCUGAGUCAUUGAAUGGGAUCCAGAAGGGCAGGAUAGUGAAGGAGUCUUGGAAUUUAACAUCCCCCUGAAGCUGAAGAAGUUAAAGGCCCACUGCGUACUCUGAAAUCAAAAUCAUCUGUUCAGGGAGGAUGGAGACUUCCUGUGGAAAAAACAAGAUAUCUGCAGAGCAAAAUGAGGCAGCUGAUAAUAUCGUUAUUUCUGGCCAUCUCAAACAGAAAUCUACAUUGGCAAUCAAACUCAACCUGUUUCUUAGACCUCUGGAUCUUAUUCUCUGCUCCUCAAACACAUCGCAGAGAAGAAUAUACACACAGAAGGUGAUGGGAGCAAAUUGA